GUGCUUGCUUUGGCAGCACAUAUACUAAAAUAUUGGAAUGGUACAGAGAAGAUUAGCAUGGCCCCUGUGCAAGGAUGACAGGCAAAUUCGUGAAGCGUUCCAUAUUUUU
rnacentral:snRNA from 1 species